AUUAAAAAGAGGAAAGAGAAAUUCUACCUCCGUACUGAAACAUUCACAGGUCUUCCAAUGGGUAUUAACGUUACAUGAUAACAUAUUAACCCAUCCACAUUAUUCUUUUAAAGUGAUUUAUGGAAAGACGUGUUGAGUGCCCCAUUAAUUAUUGUCAUGAUUCUAGAAGGUUAACCUCUUUUAUGCCAAGGGGUUUCUUCCUGGUGGCUGUUGGUGUCGGA